rnacentral:rRNA from 1 species
AGAGAAUAGAUACCCGGGUAGUCCACGCCGUAAACUAUGGACGCUAGCUGUUAGAAGUAUCGACCCUUCUAGUAGCGAAAGCUAAACGCGUUAAGCGUCCCCGCCUGUGGAGUACGAGCGCAAGCUUAAAACAUAAAGGAAUUGACGGGGACCCGCACAAGCGGUGGAGCGUGUUGUUUAAAUUCGAUGCUAAGCGAAGAACCUUACCCAGGUUUGACAUCCUGCUAAUUUCUCCGAAAGGAGAGAGUGCCUUCGGGCCGCAGUGACAGGUGUUGCAUGGCCGUCGUCAGCUCGUGUCGUGAGAUGUUUGGUUAAGUCCAUCAACGAGCGCAACCCUUUUGUUUAGUUGUAUUUCUCUAAACAGACUGCCCUGGUAACAGGGAGGAAGGGGGGGGUAUGAUGUCAGGUCAGUAUUACCCUUACGUCUGGGGGCUACAAACACGCUACAAUGGACGGUACAAAGGGCAGCCAACCCGGCGAGGGGGGUAGCAAAUCCCCAUCAAAACCCGUUCUCAGUUCGGAUUGUAGGCUG